rnacentral:tRNA from 1 species
GGGUCUGUAGCUCAAUGGUAGAGCAGCUGCCUCUUAAGCAGUUGGUUGUGGGUUCGAUCCCCACCAGGCCCACCA